UACGUAGGGUGCGAGCGUUAAUCGGAAUUACUGGGCGUAAAGCGUGCGCAGGCGGUUUUGCAAGCCGGAUGUGAAAUCCCCGGGCUUAACCUGGGAAUGGCAUUUGGGACUGCAAGGCUGGAGUGCGGCAGAGGAGACUGGAAUUCCUGGUGUAGCAGUGAAAUGCGUAGAUAUCAGGAGGAACACCGAUGGCGAAGGCAGCUCACUAAGCAGGCAUUGACGCUGAGGCACGAAAGCGUGGGGAUCAAACAGG
rnacentral:rRNA from 1 species